GCGGACAUAGUUCAGUUGGCAGAACGCGGCCUUGCCAAGGUCGAGGUGAUCGGUUCGAGACCGAUUGUCCGCUCCA
rnacentral:tRNA from 2 species